UCCGAUAGCAGCCUCCUGCUC
rnacentral:misc_RNA from 1 species